rnacentral:rRNA from 1 species
GACGAACGCUGGCGGCGUGCCUAAUACAUGCAAGUUGAGCGCUGAAGGUUGGUACUUGUACCGACUGGAUGAGCAGCGAACGGGUGAGUAACGCGUGGGGAAUCUGCCUUUGAGCGGGGGACAACAUUUGGAAACGAAUGCUAAUACCGCAUAAAAACUUUAAACACAAGUUUUAAGUUUGAAAGAUGCAAUUGCAUCACUCAAAGAUGAUCCCGCGUUGUAUUAGCUAGUUGGUGAGGUAAAGGCUCACCAAGGCGAUGAUACAUAGCCGACCUGAGAGGGUGAUCGGCCAAAUUGGGACUGAGACACGGCCCAAACUCCUACGGGAGGCAGCAGUAGGGAAUCUUCGGAAAUGGACGAAAGUCUGACCGAGCAACGCCGCGUGAGUGAAGAAGGUUUUCGGAUCGUAAAACUCUGUUGGUAGAGAAGAACGUUGGUGAGAGUGGAAAGCUCAUCAAGUGACGGUAACUACCCAGAAAGGGACGGCUAACUACGUG